UACAGAGGUGCCGAGCGUUAGGCGGAAUCACUGGGCUUAAAGCGUGUGUAGGCGGAUGCCUAAGUACCUUGUGAAAUCCCAUAGCUCAACUAUGGAACUGCUUGGUAUACUGGGUGUCUUGAGCCACUUAGGGGUUACCGGAACAAAUGGUGGAGCGGUGAAAUGCGUAGAUAUCAUUUGGAACGCCAAUGGUGAAAACAGGUAACUGGGAGUGUGCUGACGCUGAGACACGAAAGCUAGGGGAGCAAACAGG
rnacentral:rRNA from 1 species